GACGAACGCUGGCGGCGUGCCUAAUACAUGCAAGUCGAACGCAUUUUCUUUCACCGUAGCUUGCUACACCGAAAGAAAAUGAGUGGCGAACGGGUGAGUAACACGUGGGUAACCUGCCCAUCAGCGGGGGAUAACACUUGGAAACAGGUGCUAAUACCGCAUAAUUCCAUUUACCGCAUGGUAGAUGGAUGAAAGGCGCUUUUGCGUCACUGAUGGAUGGACCCGCGGUGCAUUAGCUAGUUGGUGGGGUAACGGCCUACCAAGGCUGCGAUGCAUAGCCGACCUGAGAGGGUGAUCGGCCACACUGGGACUGAGGCACGGCCCAGACUCCUACGGGAGGCAGCAGUAGGGAAUCUUCGGCAAUGGACACAAGUCUGACCGAGCAACGCCGCGUGAGUGAAGAAGGUUUUCGGAUCGUAAAACUCUGUUGUUAGAGAAGAACAAGGAUGAGAGUGGAAAGUUCAUCCCUUGACGGUAUCUAACCAGAAAGCCACGGCUAACUACGUG
rnacentral:rRNA from 1 species